rnacentral:rRNA from 1 species
CCUACGGGGAGCAGCAGUGAGGAAUAUUGGUCAAUGGACUAGAGUCUGAACCAGCCCAGUAGCGUGAAGGAUGACUGCCCUAUGGGUUGUAAACUUCUUUUAUAUGGGAAUAAACUGUUCCACGUGUGGGAUUUUGUAUGUACCAUCUGCAUACGGAUCGGCUAACUCCGUGCCAGCAGCCUCGGUAAUACGGAGGAUCCGAGCGUUAUCCGGAUUUAUUGGGUUUAACGGGAGCGUAGGUGGAUUGUUAAGUCAGUUGUGAAAGUUUGCGGCUCAACCGUAAAAUUGCAGUUGAAACUGGCAGUCUUGAGUACAGUAGAGGUGGGCGGAAUGCGUGGUGUAGCGGUGAAAUGCUUAGAUAUCACGAAGAACUCCGAUUGCGAAGGCAGUUCACUAGACUGCAACUGACACUGAGGCUCGAAAGUGUGGGUAUCAAACAGGAUUAGAUACCCGGGUAGUC